rnacentral:rRNA from 1 species
UACAUGUGGGGCAAGCGUUGUUCGGAAUUACUGGGCAUAAAGGGUGCGUAGGUGGCUUGCUAAGUCAGUGGUGAAAUCGUCCGGCCCAACCGGACGCCUGCCAAUGAUACUGGUGAGCUCGAGUGCGUGAGGGGUGGGGGGAACGAGCAGUGUAGCGGUGAAAUGCGCAGAUAUCAGGAGGAACACCGGUGGCGAAGGCGGUUCUCUGGGCAUUACCUGACGCUGAGGAGCGAAAGUGUGGGGAGCGAACAGG